rnacentral:rRNA from 1 species
UACGUAGGGUGCAAGCGUUAUCCGGGAUCACUGGGCGUAAAGCGUGCGUAGGUGGCGUGUUAAGUGUGAUGUUAAAUCGUGUGGCUCAACCAUAUCGAUGUGUCGCAUACUGGCAUGCUAGAGGACAGCAGAGGCAAGUGGAAUUUGUAGUGUAGCAGUGAAAUGCGUAGAUAUUACAAGGAACACCAAUGGCGAAGGCAGCUUGCUGGGCUACUCCUGACACUGAGGUACGAAAGCGUGGGGAGCGAACAGG